rnacentral:snoRNA from 10 species
GCAUGGGUUUGGAUUAUGACAGGCCCAUCCCCCUGGACCUCUCAUAGUGCCCCAUGCCAGAGCAAACUGUGGCCCCGAACCAUUGCCUGGCUUCUGUACCCGUGGGCCACUGGCACUGAAGAGGGUUACACAGUG